ensembl:lncRNA
AUGGCCAGAUUUAGCUGCCGGUAUAUUUUUGAAAAAUAUUUUAGGGAAAAAAGAAAGAAGAUAGAGGGAAAUGAGAUAAAGGGACAUGUGGCCUCAUUCUUCACUGUCCCAAAUUCCCUUUUCAAAGUCAUAAACCUACACCCACCUCUUUCAAUCGCCCCCUCCAUUCUUGCCUCUGGCCCUGUGUCCCUGCCUUGUCUUCCCAAGGGCUGCAGCAAUAUUUCAAAUGUUCCUCCUACAGCUGGGUGCCUGCACUGGUUUCUGGGCUCCUGGCAUCCUGAAGCCCCACCCUGAUGCUGGUUCCACACGUGCCUGUGCACAUUCAGGGCUGUGAAGGGUCAGUGGUCCACGUGAAAUUCCAGGAAGGAACAAGCCUUCAGGGGCACUGUCCUUGGCUGGUUCCUACAGCACUUCCUUCCUUGUACCCCACAGAGCCUUUGGCAUGUAGUGUCACGUGUUCAUCUAAGUACCACUGAUGGUUUUGAUUUUCCAUCUGAAGAGUGCACAGAAGCUGGUCUUGGACAAUAAAAGCAAAGGUGAAGGUGCCAGGGAGGAAGGAUCAGUGUGAGGAGGGUAUGGAAUGGUGCAUGCAAAGUACCAGCACAGCGCCUGGCACAGUAUAGACUCCUCACACAGAGGGCUGUCCUCCCUGCCCCCAAGGAGAUCUCAGAGGCCCCCCUCCUGCCAAAGCUGCAUUUCAACUCCUCGCAUACACUUGGGCUUCAGUCCAUUACACAUGGAAAUUUGGCUUCAUUGAUAUAAAGGGGCUAAUUAUCACAUGAGACGUAAUUACAAGACAGGAAAUGGAUUUAUAGACGCCAUCAGUGGGAGGGGAAGUUGCAGCGGCUGCUCGGACUGCUCUGUGCUCCUAAAGGGCUAAAGCUGUCCCCAGCGGACAGGAUUCUUUGCUUUGCUGAGAAAUGUGCUCCUAGAGAGGUCGGCAGUACUACAGAUUUCUGGAAAUCAAAUCUAGUUCUGUCUCUGAUUUUGUUCCACAAUUGGCAAUGUAUUCCCACAGGAUCUCUUCACAUAAUAAAAAUCAUACUUAAAAUGUAGUUAGUCUUAAAGGAAAUAUUAAAAGAGAAAGAUAAGUCAUACAAUAGAUUCUAAAACUAGCCCAAAGGAGAAAUGGUGGGUAGAAACUGUACAGCACUAGUACCUGCUUUUCUUUGAGGUUAGAUGAACAGAAAGAGCUAUAUUUGCCAGACACGGUGGUGUGCACCUGUAGUCUCAGCUACCUGGGAAGCUGAUCGCUUGAACCCAGGAGUUCAAGGCCAGCCUGGGCAGCACCCUUUCUAAAAGCAGGGGAAAAAGAGCUAUAUGCCUGCUAAUUAACCUAAUAAAUAGUCCCUUAUGAUUUCAUCUUUCACCUUAAAAUCAUAUAUCUUAAUUUAGACACACAUACACACACAGAAAUGUAAACAGACAAUAGGUAUAAGUGAAAAGGCCCUUCGUCAUUGAUAACCAAAGAUAAGAAAUUAGUACUAGUUAAUAUUUAGGGAGCACACUCUGUGCCAAGUCUGCGCUUUGCCUGUCUUAUUUGUUCAUCUUCAUAACAGUCCCAUGAGGAGGGUGCAGUCAUAAUCCUCAAUUGAUAGCUAAGGAACUGACACUUAGGAAGGUCAACCAAGGUGGCC